AACGCUAGCUACAGGCUUAACACAUGCAAGUCGAGGGGCAGCAUUGGAGUAGCAAUACUUCAGAUGGCGACCGGCGCACGGGUGAGUAACACGUAUCCAACCUGCCGCUUACUCGGGGAUAGCCUUUCGAAAGAAAGAUUAAUACCCGAUGGUAUAAAGAGUUCGCAUGUUCUCUUUAUUAAAGAAUUUCGGUAAGCGAUGGGGAUGCGUUCCAUUAGAUAGUUGGCGGGGUAACGGCCCACCAAGUCUACGAUGGAUAGGGGUUCUGAGAGGAAGGUCCCCCACAUUGGAACUGAGACACGGUCCAAACUCCUACGGGAGGCAGCAGUGAGGAAUAUUGGUCAAUGGACGAGAGUCUGGACCAGCCAAGUAGCGUGAAGGAUGACUGCCCUAUGGGUUGUAAACUUCUUUUAUAAGGGAAUAAAGUGAGGGACGUGUCCCUUUUUGUAUGUACCUUAUGAAUAAGGAUCGGCUAACUCCGUGCCAGCAGCCGCGGUAAUACGGAGGAUCCAAGCGUUAUCCGGAUUUAUUGGGUUUAAAGGGAGCGUAGGUUGACAUAUAAGUCAGCUGUGAAAGUUUACGGCUCAACCGUGAAAUUGCAGUUGAUACUGUAUGUCUUGAGUGUACAAGAGGUGGGCGGAAUUCGUGGUGUAGCGGUGAAAUGCUUAGAUAUCACGAAGAACUCCGAUUG
rnacentral:rRNA from 1 species